GGUGCAUACUCCAGCUGAAUAACUAUUUAAAGUGAAGAGCACACCCACAGGACUUCAAAAUAAACAUUUUUUACAGUUGUGCCCUACAUACAUUCACCAUUUCAGUCCCAUUAACAAGCUUUCCUUAAUAUGUCAAGGUUUGUAUCACUCUUACACUCUGUCCUAGAAAAAGGAGGAGGAGGGGGAUGAGGGGUGUCAGGUCUGAGUUUCUUCCUCUGCCUCAUUCCACAAG